rnacentral:rRNA from 1 species
UACAGAGGUCUCAAGCGUUGUUCGGAUUCAUUGGGCGUAAAGGGUGUGUAGGUGGCGCCGUAAGUCGGGUGUGAAAUUUCGAGGCUUAACCUCGAAACUGCAUUCGAUACUGCGGUGCUUGAGGACUGGAGAGGAGACUGGAAUUCAUGGUGUAGCAGUGAAAUGCGUAGAUAUCGAGAGGAACACCUGCGGCGAAGGCGGGUUGCUGGGCCGACACUGACGCUGAAGCGCGAAAGCUAGGGGAGCGAACGGG